rnacentral:rRNA from 1 species
UCCUACGGGUGGCAGCAGUAGGGAAUAUUGGACAAUGGGGGAAACCCUGAUCCAGCAACGCCGCGUGGAUGAUGAAGCUUUUUGGAGUGUAAAAUCCUGUCAGUGGGGACGAAACGUCCGGGUAGGAAAUGACCCGGGCCUGACUGUACCCGCAGAGGAAGUUCCGGCCAACUCCGUGCCAGCAGCCGCGGUAAUACGGGGGGAACGAGCGUUGUUCGGAUUUACUGGGCGUAAAGGGCACGCAGGCGGGGAGACAAGUCAGAUGUGAAAACCCAAAGCUUAACUCUGGGCCUGCAUUUGAUACUGUUUCUCUUGAGUACGGGAGAGGAUAGCGGAAUUCUUGGUGUAGCGGUGAAAUGCGUAGAUAUCAAGAAGAACACCGGUGGCGAAGGCGGCUAUCUGGCCCGAUACUGACGCUCAUGUGCGAAGGCAAGGGGAGCAAACAGGAUUAGAUACCCCAGUAGUCGG